rnacentral:rRNA from 1 species
UACAGAGGGGGCAAGCGUUGUUCGGAAUUACUGGGCGUAAAGGGCGCGUAGGCGGCCAACUAAGUCGGACGUGAAAUCCCCAGGCUCAACUUGGGAACUGCGUCCGAUACUGGAUGGCUUGAAUCCGGGAGAGGGAUGCGGAAUUCCAGGUGUAGCGGUGAAAUGCGUAGAUAUCUGGAGGAACACCGGUGGCGAAGGCGGCAUCCUGGACCGGUAUUGACGCUGAGGCGCGAAAGCCAGGGGAGCAAACGGG